rnacentral:lncRNA from 10 species
AUUUCUAAGAAAUAUAGCAUAACAACUAUUUAUAUUGCAUUUACAAGGUAUUAGGUAUUAUAAAUAACAUAGAAAUGAUUAAAGGUGUACAGGAGGAUGUGCAUAGAUUGUAUGUAAAUACUACCCACUUUAUUUCAGAGGCUUGAGCAUCCAUAGAUUUGGGUAUCUGCAGGGGGUCCUGUAACCAAUCCUCCAUGGAUACUGAGGGAUGACUGUAUAUGUAAAAAUAUUUGUAAAGUAAAUCACAUUUGAAAUGAGCUUUGUGCUUUCCAGUCAUUGCAUUUUGCUCAUUUUACUCCCUGCUUAAAUUACUUUCCCUCUGUUCUCUGUCAACUCAAAUUCUAUCCAAUCUUUCUGGGUCACUACCAACAACACUUAUUCUCUGAACCUCCUCUAAGGUCAUCCCAAUCCUCAUCGUUUUCCUACUCAUGUGAAUUACUACGGGAUCUGCAUUUAAUUAUAAAGAAACUCAACAAGCAACUGUUGACCAAUUACAAUGAGCCAGGCCCUGGAAUUGCUACUGGAGACAUAAGAUGAACAGGAUGCUGUUCCUGUCCAUUCUUAGGAGACAUAGAAUCCAGUGGCAGGAGACAGACAUACUAAGAGAAUCAUUAUUCCAAAAAAUAUUUUUAUAAAUGAAGGGCAUAUUUAUGGAUAAAUACUGCAUCAGAAAGAUCAGAAAGAAAACCAAUCACUCACUAAUUUGUCUUCUUGGUAAAUCUGGAUUUUCGUCUGAAGCACAAUGCACAGCUAAGCUUUCACAUAUUUUUUCAGAAAUAAGAAAGUUGCCCUUUAAAAGUAGUUAUAGGUUUUCUACCUCCAUAGAUAGAGAAAAAAUUCACCUUUAUAAGAAGACUUCUCUUUUCAUUAUGAGAAAUAAUUCUAACAUGCAUUUUCAUUAUGCAAAGUUAAAGCUAAAAUGCUACUCUGGAAUGGAGACAAUUGGGACAAGUAGCUAAACUACUUUGCAUAAAGAUGUAAACAUUUGACUUUACUGUGGUAAGAAUUACAUCUUGCAGCAAUUAGCCUUUGCCACAAUGGUGUAUUACAAACAACUUCAAAAUUCAGUGACUGAAAAAAAUUAUUUUGUUUCUCCAGAUGUUUGAGUCAGCUGGGCAGGUUUUGCUUCACAUUGCAGGUCUGCAGGUCUGGGUCUUCCUCACAUGUCUUUCAUCCUUUUUGGUCCCAUUGAGUUAUUCAGGGUACAUUCCUCUCAUGGUGAUGGCAGAGGCACACCAAAUGGCAAGCCCAACCACGCAAGCACUUUUCAAACUGCUUUUUGCAUCACAUCUGCUAACAUUCUAUUAGCCAAAGCAAAACACAUAGUCCAGCCCAAAAUUAAGAGGCUGAGAAGGACAUUCCAUCUUUAGUUGCAGAAAAUGCAAAACUACCAGGCAUAGAAUGUAGACACAGGAAAUAAUAAAGAGUCAGAUAAAAUAAUUCAACCUCUCAGACCCCAUAAAGAUAUUGAUUGAAAUGUGUUUGAAACUGAGGGAAGGAUUUGGGGUUUGCAGUUAUUCUCAGUGGACCAGAGAAAGAAGAGAUUUGAGAGUUCUCUGAGCAGCAGGCUAUGAGACAGAGCACAUUAAACAGGGAGGGCUCUUGAAAUCAAUACCUGUGAAAAGGAGUGAAAGGAAGCAAAACUGGGCAAAGGGAAAAGUUGAGCUUUGAUGUGGUCUCAGCAAAGGGUUCAGGCAACUCCAUGGGAAGUGUUGGAACUUGUGGCCCUUCAGAGUUGUCCCAAGUUGGGGCAUGGUGUCCAGGCUUUUAUAUCUCUGCUCAGUCAAUCUUCACAAUACCUUUGCUUGAUCAGGUCUUGUGUAAUUUUGGCCAUAGGCAAUCUCCAAUGAGGGCUGAUAGGUGAGAACUGUCUUUUGGCAGCACUCACAGGAGUCUUCAUUUUGAAGAAGAUCUUGGUUGCAAAGCACUGCACCCUUACAGCAGCUACUAUGUUCUAGGCACCAUUCUAAGUGCUGGGGAUAUAGAAAAAGAACAAAUGAAUAAGAAAAUGUAUCACACGUCAGACGGUGCUGAAUGUUACAGGGAGAAAUAAAGCAGGGUCACUCAACUCCAGCCACAUAGCAUCCUUGAAAUUAUUCAAACCCACCAUGUAAGUCCCCAUUCCAGGGUCUUUGCUACCCAUCACUUAUGGCCCCACUCCCUUUAGGUCUUGGCUCAAGUGCUCCCUUCUCAAUAAAGCAUUGUAUCACUAUUCUGUUGUAAAUGUCAGCGUCUCCAACAUCCACCCAUCCUAGCAUUCCUGUCUCUCUUCUGCUACUGGCCAGUUUUCUCUGUUCUCCUAAAAAACCAGCACUCUGCUCCCCUGGCUACCUGCUGCCCUUCUGAGACUUGAAUAUCCUUGUUGGGGCCUUAUAAUGACUUCUUUUACUUUCUUU